rnacentral:rRNA from 1 species
GCCAGCAGCCAUAUCAGUCUGCAACUCACAACUGGCAACCCACUGAAGCUACAGUAAGCAGGUGUGAGCCUGGUCAGUACCUGGAUUGGAGACCUCCUGGGAAAAACAAAGGUUGCUACUGGAA